CCGCGGUGGCUUCCGCGGAGGUUUCGGCAGUGGCAUCCGGGGCCAGGGUCACGGCCGUGGACUGGCCGGAGCCGAGGCCGCGGAACUCGCUGAGGCAAGGCCGAGGAUAAGGAGUAGAUGCCCGUCACCAAGCUGGGCCACCUGGUCAAGGACCUGAAGAUCAAGUACCUGGAGGAUGUCUCUUCUCCCUGCCCAUCAACGAAUCUGAGAUCAUUGACUUUUUCCUUGGGACCUCUCUCAAGGAAGAGGUUUUGAAGAUUAUGCCGGUGCAGAAGCAGACCCGCGCCGUUCAGCACACCAGAUUCAAGGCGUUUGUUGCCAUCGGGGACUACAAUGGCCACGUCGGUCUGGGUGUUAAGCGCUCCAAGGAGGUGGCCACUGCCAUCCGCGGAGCCAUCAUCCUGGCCAAGCUCUCCAAUGUCCCCGUGCGCAGAGGCUAUUGGGGGAACAAGAUGGGAAAGCCCCACACCGUCCCUUGCAAGGUGACAGACCGCUGCCGCUCUGUGCUGGUGCACCUCAUCCCCGCGCCCAGAGGCACUGGCAUUGUCUGGGCGCCUGUGCCCAAGAAGCUCCUCAUGAUGGCUGGUGUUGAUGACUGCUACACCUCAGCCAGGGGCUGCACUGCCACCCUGGGCAACUUCUCCAAGGCCACCUUUGACGCCAUCUGUAAGACCUACAGCUCCCUGACCCCCGACCUCUGGAAGGAGACUAUAUUCACCAAGUCUCCCUAUCAGGAAUUCACUGACCACCUCGUCAAGACCCACACCAGAGUCUCCAUGCAGAGGACCCAGGCUCCAGCAGUGGCUGCAACAUAGGGUUUUUAUACAAGAAAAAUAAAGUGAAUUAAGCCUGAAAAAAAAAAAAAAAAAAAAAAGCUGGUCUCAAAUUAGGGGCCUGUAUGGAAGAAUUAAUAUCUGUUGAGUACUUACUGUCAGGCCCUAUAGAUGUUACAUGCAUUAUCUCGUUUAAUACUCAAGAACAGCUUUGUCAGGUUAACAUUAUAUCCAUUUUAUAAACAGGUUAACGAAGGCUCAGAGAGUGUAAGUCACUUACCCAACAUAACACAGUGAGUAACAGAGAUGGAAUUCGAGCCCAAGUCUGCGUGAAUCUGGAGCCCAUAUUUUUUCUGCUAUGUUACAGUGCCUCUGGAAAUAUAUUUGACUAUGCCUACUGGUAAUAGAGUUUAUGAUAAAUGAUAUAUAUUUGA